UAGGGAAUAUUGCGCAAUGGGCGAAAGCCUGACGCAGCGACGCCGCGUGGGUGAUGAAGCUCUUUGGAGUGUAAAACCCUUUCAGCAGGGAAGAACCGCAUACGGAGUAACUGCCGUAUGCCUGGCGGUACCUGCAGAAGAAGCUCCGGCCAACUCCGUGCCAGCAGCCGCGGUAAUACGGGGGGAGCGAGCGUUGUUCGGAUUUACU
rnacentral:rRNA from 1 species